rnacentral:rRNA from 1 species
GAUCCUGGCUCAGGAUGAACGCUAGCGGCGUGCCUAACACAUGCAAGUCGAACGUGAGAGGGUACUUGUAUCCUUGAAAGUGGCGGACGGGUGAGUAAGACGUAGGUGACCUGCCUCGAAGUGGGGGAUAACCAUUGGAAACGAUGGCUAAUACCGCAUAAGCUGGUGAUGAUGGGAAUCGUUAUCAGGAAAGCUUUAGUGCUUUGAGAGGGGCCUACGGCCGAUUAGCUAGUUGGUGAGGUAAAGGCUCACCAAGGCGAUGAUCGGUAGCUGGUCUGAGAGGACGAUCAGCCACACGGGAACUGAGACACGGUCCCGACUCCUACGGGGGGCAGCAGUGAGGAAUAUUCGGCAAUGGGGGGCAACCCUGACCGAGCAACGCCGCGUGGAGGAUGACGGUUUUCGGAUUGUAAACUCCUUUUCUCAGGGAAGAGUGAGGACGGUACCUGAGGAAUAAGUCACGGCUAACUACGUGCCAGCAGCCGCGGUAAUACGGUAGGUGGCAAGCGUUAUCCGGAAUUAC